rnacentral:lncRNA from 1 species
UUGAAACCUUGUACAUCAAUGACUUUGAAGUCUUGUGCACAUUCAAUCUUGAGCUCCAUGACUUUGACACUUGAAUGCGUGAGUUUGAUUCAGCAUUCCCACCAGAUUUCUUCUCUAAUUUGAUCGUCCACCAAUGUCACUUCCUCUCUAACAACCACUUGAGUUCGCUGGCCAGAUUUCUUCUUCGGGUUGUCUUGAGUUUUGACUUGGUUGGAUCGUCUAAAUGGGCUUCAAAUAUAACCGGCUCUACUCUUCACUUUCUUAGUCCUUCAUGACUGGUUCUGAAUCCUUUCCUUGUCAACUUUUACUUCCUUGAGGCUCUCAUUGGUCUCUUUGAGGCUCUUAUGGUCUCCUUCACCCUUAAACAAGAGAUAAAGAAGAAAAGAUUAAGUUUUGCCAUAAGGAAUAUCAAAGAGAAUAUCAAAUGAGGAAUAUCAAGGCUAUUAAGCAACAAUUAGGAGUUCAUGUAUAUAUUAAACUGUGAAUUCUAAGGCAAUGGUUUAAUGAAGAAUAUCAUGAAAUGAGAGUAGAGUUUAGGAACAGCCUUUAUUCGAAGAAGGCUUGAACUUGUGCGGUUUGUUCGCCUAAUGGACUUCAAGUCUGAUGGUGAAUGGUUCUAACCCUCCCGCAAACUUAAAGUGUCCAGAUUAUCCAGCCCUUAAUCUCUAACAAAUGCAUUCGCCUUCUCUUCAUGAAACAAGCGAUUUCUUGCAAAAUAGAUUAGAGUUAAUGGGCAACAAAGACAAAGUUGGUGAAAGAUUAGUGUAGAAUGGACAGACAUAAAGGAGAAUAAUAGUAUAAAGACAAUAAAGAAGAAUGGAGAAUAGAGAGUUAAGCGGAAGCUUUAACAACCAAGGCAUCCAAUAAUCAUCAAGAGUUUGGUGCUUUAAUGGUUGAAACAAUAUGGACCGUUGGGCAAUUCAUUUACCCACCGGUUUAAGACAUAAACACACCGAAACAACUCAUGACCAAGAGUUUUCCGGUGACUUUAAAGAACUAUGAACCACGAAAUACCAUAUUGAAGAUGGUUUCUGUGGCCUAGUUUUAAAGAAACCAUUGGAACAAAACAGUUUGUCCAAUGGAAUCAUCAAUUUCUCUUCACAUGCUUGGUCUAAGAACUUUAACAAGACCAGAAUCCAAGCUUUUCUCAACAUUGAGCUGCUAGAGAAAUGAUUUUAACAAUAAAGGCUGAAACUUUAAAGAAUCUAGUCUAAAGCUGAAACCUUUAAAGAAGCUAAGCAAUUUAACAACUAAGAGAAAUUUAGAAAUAACUUGAGAACGAUUUUAAGAGUUCCAAGAGAGCAACCUGCUCUGAUACCAUGUUGGAAUUGAAGAGACUAAGCUCAUAAGAAAGAGUAAACAAUCACUUGGUGAUUGAAUCUCAGUUUAUCCACACAAA